AGCAGCCGCGGUAAUUCCAGCUCCAAUAGCGUAUAUUAAAGUUGUUGCAGUUAAAAGCUCGUAGUUGAAUUUCGGGAUCAAUAUAUCGGUCGUGCCUUGGUACGUACUGGUAUCAUUGGUUUCUCCUUUCUGACGAACCAUGAUGUCAUUAAUUUGGUGUUAUGGGAAGUUAGGACUGUUACUUUGAAAAAUUAGAGUGUUUAAAGCAGGCUUUGGCUUGAAUACAUUGGCAUGGAAUAAUGAAAUAGGACGUUCGAACCUAUUUUGUUGGUUUCUAGGAUCAACGUAAUGAUUAAUAGGGAUAGUUGGGGGCAUUAGUAUUCAAUUGUCAGAGGUGAAAUUCUUGGAUUUAUUGAAGACUAACUACUGCGAAAGCAUUUGCCAAGGAUGUUUUCAUUAAUCAAGAACGAAAGUUAGGGAUCGAAGACGAUCAGAUACCGUCGUAGUCUUAACCAUAAACUAUGCCGACUAGGGAUCGGAUGAUGUUAAUUUUUAAUGUACUCAUUCGGCGUCCGUUACG
rnacentral:misc_RNA from 1 species